UUUAUUGGAGAGUUUGAUCCUGGCUCAGGAUGAACGCUGGCGGCGUGCCUAAUACAUGCAAGUCGAGCGAAUGGAUUGAGAGCUUGCUCUCAAGAAGUUAGCGGCGGACGGGUGAGUAACACGUGGGUAACCUGCCCAUAAGACUGGGAUAACUCCGGGAAACCGGGGCUAAUACCGGAUAACAUUUUGAACCRCAUGGUUCGAAAUUGAAAGGCGGCUUCGGCUGUCACUUAUGGAUGGACCCGCGUCGCAUUAGCUAGUUGGUGAGGUAACGGCUCACCAAGGCAACGAUGCGUAGCCGACCUGAGAGGGUGAUCGGCCACACUGGGACUGAGACACGGCCCAGACUCCUACGGGAGGCAGCAGUAGGGAAUCUUCCGCAAUGGACGAAAGUCUGACGGAGCAACGCCGCGUGAGUGAUGAAGGCUUUCGGGUCGUAAAACUCUGUUGUUAGGGAAGAACAAGUGCUAGUU
rnacentral:rRNA from 1 species